AUUGAACGCUGGCGGCAGGCCUAACACAUGCAAGUCGAGCGGUAGCACAGAGAGCUUGCUCUCGGGUGACGAGCGGCGGACGGGUGAGUAAUGUCUGGGAAACUGCCUGAUGGAGGGGGAUAACUACUGGAAACGGUAGCUAAUACCGCAUAACGUCGCAAGACCAAAGUGGGGGACCUUCGGGCCUCAUGCCAUCAGAUGUGCCCAGAUGGGAUUAGCUAGUAGGUGGGGUAACGGCUCACCUAGGCGACGAUCCCUAGCUGGUCUGAGAGGAUGACCAGCCACACUGGAACUGAGACACGGUCCAGACUCCUACGGGAGGCAGCAGUGGGGAAUAUUGCACAAUGGGCGCAAGCCUGAUGCAGCCAUGCCGCGUGUGUGAAGAAGGCCUUCGGGUUGUAAAGCACUUUCAGCGGGGAGGAAGGCGGUGAGGUUAAUAACCUCAUCGAUUGACGUUACCCGCAGAAGAAGCACCGGCUAACUCCGUGCCAGCCGCCGCGGUAA
rnacentral:rRNA from 1 species